CCUACGGGUGGCUGCAGUGGGGAAUAUUGCACAAUGGGCGCAAGCCUGAUGCAGCCAUGCCGCGUGUGUGAAGAAGGCCUUCGGGUUGUAAAGCACUUUCAGCGGGGAGGAAGGCGUUAAGGUUAAUAACCUUGUCGAUUGACGUUACCCGCAGAAGAAGCACCGGCUAACUCCGUGCCAGCAGCCGCGGUAAUACGGAGGGUGCAAGCGUUAAUCGGAAUUACUGGGCGUAAAGCGCACGCAGGCGGUCUGUCAAGUCGGAUGUGAAAUCCCCGGGCUCAACCUGGGAACUGCAUUCGAAACUGGGAGGCUAGAGUCUUGUAGAGGGGGGUAGAAUUCCAGGUGUAGCGGUGAAAUGCGUAGAGAUCUGGAGGAAUACCGGUGGCGAAGGCGGCCCCCUGGAAAAAGACUGACGCUCAGGUGCGAAAGCGUGGGGAGCAAACAGGAUUAGAUACCCUAUAGUC
rnacentral:rRNA from 1 species